CGCGUAGGUGGCCUGGUAAGUAGGGGGUGAAAUCUCGAGGCUCAACUUCGAGGCUGCCUCCUAAACUGUCAGGCUCGAGCAGAGUAGAGGCAGGUGGAAUUCCCGGUGUAGCGGUGGAAUGCGUAGAGAUCGGGAAGAACAUCGGUGGCGAAGGCGGCCUGCUGGGCUCUUGCUGACACUGAUGCGCGACAGCGUGGGGAGCAAACA
rnacentral:rRNA from 1 species